AGGAGCUUAUUGUGUCAGCCACAUUAGGGUCUUUGGGUCUUUCUCUCCUGAAAAUGUUAAGAGCUUGAGCGCUUAAUUUUUCAGGGGAGACGGGCUCAAGGAUCUUGAAGUGGUUGCCUGGGGAUGAUAA
rnacentral:pre_miRNA from 1 species